CAAACCAAAGCUGGCGACCGGCGCACGGGUGAGUAACACGUAUCCAACCUGCCUCAUACUCGGGGAUAGCCUUUCGAAAGAAAGAUUAAUAUCCGAUAGCAUAUAUUUCCCGCAUGGGUUUUAUAUUAAAGAAAUUCGGUAUGAGAUGGGGAUGCGUUCCAUUAGUUUGUUGGGGGGUAACGGCCCACCGAGACUACGAUGGAUAGGGGUUCUGAGAGGAAGGUCCCCCACAUUGGAACUGAGACACGGUCCAA
rnacentral:rRNA from 1 species